rnacentral:rRNA from 1 species
AAUCAACGCUGGCGGCGUGCCUAACACAUGCAAGUCGAACGCGAAGGCCCGCAAGGGUAAGUAGAGUGGCGCACGGGUGAGUAACACGUGGACAACCUGCCUUCGAGUGGGGAAUAACCUUCCGAAAGGAGGGCUAAUACCGCAUAACACCUCGGGACACAAGUUCUGGGGUUGAAAAGAGCAAUUUGCUCGAAGAGGGGUCCGCGCCUGAUUAGCUAGUUGGUGAGGUAACGGCUCACCAAGGCUUCGAUCAGUAGCCGUCCUGAGAGGGAGCACGGCCACACUGGAACUGAGACACGGUCCAGACUCCCACGGGAGGCAGCAGUGGGGAAUUUUGGCAAUGGGCGAAAGCCUGACCAAGCAACGCCGCGUGGGUGAUGAAGUAUCUUGGUACGUAAAACCCUUUCGGCAGGGACGAACCUAAUGACGGUACCUGCGGAAGAAGCCCCGGCUAACUCCGUGCCAGCAGCCGCCGCAGUAAU